CCUACGGGAGGCAGCAGUAGGGAAUAUUGCUCAAUGGGGGAAACCCUGAAGCAGCAACGCCGCGUGGAGGAUGAAGGUUUUCGGAUUGUAAACCCCUUUUGUUAGAGAAGAUAAUGACGGUAUCUAACGAAUUAGCACCGGCUAACUCCGUGCCAGCAGCCGCGGUAAUACGGCGGGUGCAAGCGUUAUUCGGAAUCACUGGGCGUAAAGGGCGCGUAGGCGGGAUAGCAAGUCAGAUGUGAAAUCCUAUGGCUUAACCAUAGAACUGCAUUUGAAACUGUUAUUCUAGAGUAUGGGAGAGGUAGGUGGAAUUCGUGGUGUAGGGGUAAAAUCCGUAGAGAUCAAGAGGAAUACUCAUUGCGAAGGCGACCUGCUAGAACAUAACUGACGCUGAUGCGCGAAAGCGUGGGGAGCAAACAGGAUUAGAUACCCUUGUAGUC
rnacentral:rRNA from 1 species